ensembl:snoRNA
AAGGCCCAGAGAGGCAUUGCAGGUGUGGCUGCUGUGUCACACAUGAAUCAGUAGGUGGCAUAGAGGAGAGAGAGAGAGGCUAUGUCUAAGUUCAGUGUUCUGACCUGUGAACAUCUAAAUGAUUAGUAGCCUAAUACU